rnacentral:misc_RNA from 1 species
AAGUUCAGGAGGGGCACAAAAGCAGAAGUUGAUGAACUCAUGAGGAUUGAGAAGUCGGAGUAUCCAAUGAGAAUAGUUUAUGGUUUUGGAAUAUCUCAUGAACAUCCGGGUACAUUCAUUUUGACAUACAUACGGAGUACAAAUCCACACCAUGAGUAUAUUGGUCUCUAUCCAAAGGGAUUUAAAUUUAGGAAAAGAAUGUUUGAAGAUAUUGAUAGGCUUGUGGCCUAUUUUCAAAGGCACAUCGAUGAUCCCCAGCAUGAUUCAGCACCAUCAAUUAGAUCAGUUGCUG